AACUGAUCGAGAGACUUGAAUCUUAUGACAGAAAUGAUGAUUUUGUUGGGCCAUCUGUCUCCAUCCCACGUCCAGAAGAUACAUCAUGGCCAGUGUCAGGAUUUCAACAGCUGAUGCCUUCCCAUCGUCAACUACUGCCUCCCAUUUCCAAAGAAAUCAUUGAGGGUUACUUCAUCUACCGUAUGACAGGAGACAACCAAGCUGCCCAUGAUAUCAAGGCCAUAGAGAAAGGUUCUCUGAUGUUUGAGGGGGACAGGGUGCUGGCAUGCAGUGUUCACAUACGUGCAUCUACUGAUGUAUACUUAAGUGGCAUCGUCAGUGCAUCUAUGAAAAACAAGGAGUCACCAUGGAGAUUUGUUGCUCCAUCUGAAGUGUCUCAGCUGUUUGUAGACUCCUUGGGGGUGAGUGCUGAUCAGCAGCUACAUUAAUAAUAUUUCAACUUUUAAUUACCAAUCUAAUCACUGUCCAUUUUUUAUUAUCAGUAUUAGGUUGUUUUCAACUAUAUCAUUCUAUUUCAUCAACCUGUUAUUUCAUAUAACAUUCCUUAGUUGUCACCAUGUUGGUAUGAACUAUUCAGAGUAGGAUAUGUUGGGUUCUCAUGUAAUUGAAAUGUAUUUUCAUCCUGGUGACUGUAACAUCCUAACAGGAGAAAUAUCUACGUCUGAAUAAUGUUGUGUGAAGUUUGUUGUGAAUUGAAAUGCUUUUCACCAUAAUAACUUAUGUACACUGUUACCAUAUGGCCAUGUUUAUAAGAAAUGUUAUAUG